UCUGCGGCGCUCAUGGGGAAUGUAGGUGUAAUGCUUUGAGGCCUUAGAUAAAGGGUGACAACAGGAAUCGAGUGGAUCUAGAGUAGUGUCCACGGUCUAAUGCUUUGAGGCCUUUGAUAAAGGGUGACAACAGGAAUGUGAAUCUGGAACGCUGUGUGAAAGGAGCAUGUGCAGAUGAAUUGAACGGUGGUUUAAGAUGGUACAAGAGAUGUGAAGAUGCCUUCAGCUGAGCACGCACGACUUCUGCAGGGAUUCAGGCAUAUCUGCAUGAGUUCUACAGGUGUACAAGCAUGAUUGCUUUCCCUCUAUUUCUGGCUGUGGAAAGAUCAGCAGCCGUCUGAUUGUUUUUCAGGGACAGCAUGAUGUUGGGAUCAGUGCUGAUGGCAGUCACUGUGGGUGUGUGUGCUUAUUGACAGGUGUGGUGGUGACUGCUCCUUUGUGCCAUGUGAAUAUGAAUGGGGCGUGUGUUUAAGGUCCUGGAUUGGGGCAACGUGUUGAUUGUGACCAAUUAACCAAUGGGUCUCUUUUUAGGGAGCUCAAGAUUAUCCAGGAUGGCUCUGGGAAAAACCAUAUGAAUGAUUUUACCUGCAUCUGACUCUUCUGAAUGAUGUUCCAGAGAGAGCUUCGAUUCUUGUUUUCUGAUUUGAAGUCACUGGUCUCUUUUUGAGCAAUUAAGUGACCUUUUCAAAGCGGUCAUCUAUGUUGUUACAACUGUCAAGUUUGUGAAGUGUCAUUACUUCAAUAAAGCCGUUAAAUCAAA